AGGACAGGCAGCAUUCUCAGACCCGAAGGACUUUGAAUUAAAAACGAGACGUAUCUCUUCCAAAGUGCCUGAAAUGAUCCAACAGACCACAAUAGACACAAUCACUCACUCCAGGUGAAGCCAGUCUCCAUGUGAUGAGGCAGGUCUGGGAAGAGACCCAUGUGGCAGGAACAGAGGCCUGUGGCCUGCCCAGAUCCACCCGAGUGACUUUGAAACUGAAUCCUCUUAAGUUGUGUCCUCAAGCGAAAUUUCGGCACUGACAACUGCAACUGCCUAACUGACCUUGAGCCAGAGGCACCCAGCCAAGCUGCUCCCAAGGUUUCAGACCCACAGAAAUAGUGUUUGUAUUUUUACACCAUUACAUUUUGGGGUAAUUUGCUACACAGCAACAGAUAACUACUACACAAUCAAAAUGGAAUGAUCAUCUAUGGGUCUGCAUGAGUUUGUCUCUCUCUACUGAGUGGGGCAGAUGGCCAUAGUAUCCAGGAAAAUACUCUUCCUUGGAUAAAAUAGGCAUCUCAAGGCUUUUUCACACUGGGUCAUAAAUGUACAUUUAGUGGACCAUUUCCAUUACUAAAAUGUAAGAUCCACAAGAAAACUUGCAUACUUGUAAUAAUUAGUAUACUGUGAGCCCGUGCCCAGCAUAUAGUUAAGCAUUGUACCUUCACCGACUUCCUUUAUCUUUCUAACAAUUCUAUGAUAAAAGUAUUAUUAUAAUCGUCAUUUUUGUAGAUGUGAAACUGAGGCGGAGAAGAAUUAAGUUGCCCAAAGUGGUGUUACAUGUAAAUGGAGGAGGCAGGAUUUGAACCCAGGCAGUUUGGCUUCAGAGUUCUUAGUAAAUAUUUGGGUUGGAGUAAAUGAGGGAGUAAAACUGUUGGAUGACUUCUGAUUAUUGCCUUGGGGAAUGGGUACCUCUCUGUCCUUCAUUUCUUUAUUGGUGUUUUUAUAACCCCUUGCAUGGUAUUUGUUGUCGACAUCUAAAAUAUAUUCCAAAAGCAACCUGUUCUUUUUUU